AGGGAAUCUUCCACAAUGGACGAAAGUCUGAUGGAGCAACGCCGCGUGAGCGAUGAAGGCCUUCGGGUCGUAAAGCUCUGUUGUUAGGGAAGAACAAGUAUCGGAGUAACUGCCGGUACCUUGACGGUACCUAACCAGAAAGCCACGGCUAACUACGUGCCAGCAGCCGCGGUAAUACGUAGGUGGCAAGCGUUGUCCGGAAUUAUUGGGCGUAAAGCGCGCGCAGGCGGUCCUUUAAGUCUUAUGUGAAAGCCCACGGCUCAACCGUGGAGGGUCAUUGGAAACUGGGGGACUUGAGUGCAGAAGAGGAAAGCGGAAUUCCACGUGUAGCGGUGAAAUGCGUAGAGAUGUGGAGGAACACCAGUGGCGAAGGCGGCUUUCUGGUCUGUAACUGACGCUGAAGCACGAAAGCAUGGGUAGCAAAC
rnacentral:rRNA from 1 species